rnacentral:rRNA from 1 species
CCUACGGGAGGCAGCAGUGGGGAAUAUUGGGCAAUGGGCGCAAGCCUGACCCAGCAACGCCGCGUGAAGGAAGAAGGCUUUCGGGUUGUAAACUUCUUUUGUCAGGGACGAAGCAAGUGACGGUACCUGAAGAAAAAGCAUCGGCUAACUCCGUGCGAGCAGCCGCGUUAAACGGGAGGAUGCGCGCGUUUUCCGGAUGUAUUGGGUUUAAAGGGUGCGCAGGCGGCCUGUUAGGUCAGCGGUAAACGCCCGGGGCUCAACCCCGGAUAGCAGUUGAAACUGGCGGGCUGGAGUUGGAACGAAGUACGCGGAAUGCGCGGUGUAGCGGUGAAAUGCUUAGAUAUCGCGAAGAACCCCGAUUGCGAAGGCAGCGUACCGG